UCUUCUGAAUUUUCUGAAGUCCUUUCACAUUGCUUUUGUCUCCUUGGGUGGCACCUGGUCUUGCCUUUUGCUCCAGCAUCGUAAUUUCUCCCACUCACCAUGUGGAUGAUUGUGAUCAGGUAAAGGUUUGCUACUCUUUUCCCACAGAGUCAUCAGUGGCAGUGUUCAUUUGGCUAUGGGUGUACGGAAUGACAAAAGAAUGUAGAAGAGGCUUUCCUCUGAUAAAAUCACCAGGUUCCAGAUGUCAUCAGGAUGCCGGCCAGGCUUCCCUGGACUGAAGACCCCACCAAUGUGUCCUGGAGCUCUGCUUCCCCAGAGACCCACCCUACUAGGGAAAGAGAGAGGCAGACUGGGAGUAUGGACUGACCAGUCAACGCACAUGUUCAGCAGGGAAGCAAUUACAGAAGCCAGACCUUCUACCUUCUGCAACCCACAACCACCCUGGGUCCAUGCUCCCAGAGGGAUAGAGAAUGGGAAAGCUAUCAGGGGAGGGGGUGGGAUAUGGAUAUUGGGUGGUGGGAAUUGUGUGGAAUUGUACCCCUCCUACCCUAUGGUUUUGUUAAUUAAUAAUUUCUUAAAUAAAAAAAUAAAAUAAAAAAAAACCUUUCCCAUGGAGACCUCUGUUUCCUCCAAUGUACAUAUGUGUAUCUUCUCUAGUAAAAUCCAACUCUGUGAUAGCAGAGAUUUCAUCA